AUGCAUCCAACCUCACUGCUCUUCACCUUGGCCUCACUGUUCCUCUUCCAUCAACGGGUGCAUGCCGAGUGUAAGCCGGUGGCGUGCGGGAACUUCACCAUCAAGUACCCGUUCUGGCUCGGCGCGCCCAGCCGCCCCCCGCCGGAGCCCUCCUGUGGCCACCCGGCCUUCGAGCUCUGGUGCAUCGACGGCAACACCUCCGCUUCCAUGCGUGGCUCCCCCAUCCACGUCCUCAACAUCGACUACGCCACCAGCUCCUUCGUUGUCGUCCACAACAGGGUUGCCUCGGGCACUGACGGCGUGUGCCGCUCCGACUUCAACAUCUCAGUCAGCCUGGCCCUCAGCCCGUUCAGGAUCAGCCCAAGCAACCGUGCCCUGGGCUUCCUGUUCAACUGCUAUGGGACGGAGCCCGGGGGGGCCGAGUACGUGAACGCCACCAGCGUGCCCGGCUGCGGCCGGAAAAUCAUCGCGUACCUCGGCGGGACCUACGACCGGGACAUCCCUCCUAAGAUCCCGACCGGGGACUGCACGUACACGUACUUCCCGGUGCUCGGGACGGAGGCGGCAGUCUCGACGGCGGCCGACUACAAUCGGCUCUUGUUGGCCGGGUUCCUGCUGGACUGGGCGGGCACUGGAGUCGGGGACUGCCCCGCUUGUGUCGCUAGUGGGGGCCAGUGCCGGUACAACACCUCCACCGCGGAGUUCGCGUGCCUCUGUCCCGAUGGCAUCAGGUCGACAUGUCACGGUAGCAAGGGGACCAGCAAGAUGGGUAUGCUAAUAGCUGUGACGUCGGCAGCUGGAUUCUUGCUCUUUGCAUGUAUUUAUGUCCUGAUAUGGCAUAGAAAGGGGAAAAGACUAUGGUUUCACCUUUGCAAGAAGCCUAGCAGCAACACUGAAAAGAAUUACGAGGCCAUGAUAGUAUUGUAUGGAUCCCUAGCUCCAAAAAGAUACAUGUAUUCAGAGGUAAUGAAGUUAACUUCUUCUCGCAACAAUCAGCUUGGAAAAGGUGGUUAUGGUGUGGUUUUCAAAGGAAGACUACACGAUGAUCGUCUCGUUGCUGUGAAAUUCUUGCAUGACUGCAAAGGAAAUGGGGAUGAGUUUGUGAAUGAGGUUAUGAGCAUUGGCAGGACCUCUCAUGUUAAUAUUGUUAGCUUAUUUGGAUUUUGUUUGGAGGGAUCAAAACGAGCUCUUAUAUAUGAGUACAUGCCCAGCGGUUCUUUGGAUAAGUACAUUUACUCAGAGAACCCCAAAGAAAUUUUAGGAUGGGAGAAGCUCUAUGCGAUAGCAGUGGGGAUUGCCCGUGGCCUCGAAUACUUGCAUCAUGGUUGUAAUAUACGCAUCGUCCAUUUCGAUAUCAAGCCCCAAAAUAUCCUUCUAGGCAAGGAUUUUAGCCCAAAGAUUGCUGAUUUUGGUCUAGCUAAAUUGUGUCAUACAAAGGAAAGCAAGCUUUCAAUGACUGGAGCUAGAGGAACAAUUGGGUUCAUCGCUCCAGAAGUUCACUCUCGAAGCUUCGGAGUGGUUUCAACAAAGUCAGAUGUUUAUAGUUUUGGAAUGAUGUUGCUGGAGAUGGUUGGAGGUAGGAGAAACGUAAAAUCAAUUGUUGCAAAAUCCAGUGAAAAGUAUUUUCCAGACUGGAUUUACGACCACUUUGCGCAAGAUGAUGGAUUACAAGCAUGUGAAGUCACAUCAGAAAGUGAGGAAAUCGCAAGAAAGAUGACCUUAAUUGGCUUGUGGUGCGUACAAAUAUUGCCUGCAUAUCGCCCUACCAUAACCAAAGUUCUAGAAAUGUUCGAGAGAAGCUCAGAUGACAUGGACAUGCCACCGAAGCAAAACUUCUCUGGAUUGCUUGAAAGCUCGGCUCACAAUAUGGAUGUACAAAGUUCAAGUUCUACCAGAUCUGAGGAGAUCAGCCUCGUGAAUUCAAAAAUCGCACAACAAUCGCCAACUCUUUGA
rnacentral:rRNA from 1 species